CAGUCGCCACGGUAACACGUAGGGUGCAAGCGUUAAUCGGAAUUACUGGCGUAAAGCGUGCGCAGGCGGUUCGUUAAGACAGAUGUGAAAUCCCCGGGCUUAACCUGGGAACUGCAUUUGUGACUGGCAGGCUAGAGUAUGGCAGAGGGGGGUAGAAUUCCACGUGUAGCAGUGAAAUGCGUAGAAAUGUGGAGGAAUACCGAUGGCGAAGGCAGCCCCCUGGGCCAAUACUGACGCUCAUGCACGAAAGCGUGGGGAGCAAACAGGAUUAGAUACCCGCGUAGUCCCUGUCUCUUAUACA
rnacentral:rRNA from 1 species